AGGUCUUGACAUCCCUUGACAACUCCAGAGAUGGAGCGUUCCCUUCGGGGACAAGGUGACAGGUGGUGCAUGGUUGUCGUCAGCUCGUGUCGUGAGAUGUUGGGUUAAGUCCCGCAACGAGCGCAACCCUUAUUACUAGUUGCCAGCAUUCAGUUGGGCACUCUAGUGAGACUGCCGGUGACAAACCGGAGGAAGGUGGGGAUGACGUCAAAUCAUCAUGCCCCUUAUGACCUGGGCUACACACGUGCUACAAUGGCGUAUACAACGAGUUGCCAACCCGCGAGGGUGAGCUAAUCUCUUAAAGUACGUCUCAGUUCGGAUUGUAGGCUGCAACUCGCCUACAUGAAGUCGGAAUCGCUAGUAAUCGCGGAUCAGCACGCCGCGGUGAAUACGUUCCCGGGUCUUGUACACACCGCCCGUCACACCAUGAGAGUUUGUAACACCCAAAGCCGGUGGGGUAACCUUCGGGAGCCAGCCGUCUAAGGUGGGACAGAUGAUUAGGGUGAAGUCGUAACAAGGUAAGCGUAGCGAG
rnacentral:rRNA from 1 species